AAUGGUCAAUAACCAGUACACUGCGCCGAAACCCUCACUAAACGCAUCUGCAAGUAUUUCAUCCUUCGACCAGAAACCGGCAAAUGGGAAGAUGCCAGCCAGGGCAAGGGUUCCGAUCAUAUAGAGCCAGAACGUCACAGGCAUGGUCUUGCGAAGCCCACCCAUGUUGC
rnacentral:misc_RNA from 1 species